GAUGAACGCUGGCGGCGUGCCUAAUACAUGCAAGUCGAGCGAACAGACGAGGAGCUUGCUCCUCUGACGUUAGCGGCGGACGGGUGAGUAACACGUGGAUCACCUACCUAUAAGACUGGGAUAACUUCGGGAAACCGGAGCUAAUACCGGAUAAUAUAUUGAACCGCAUGGUUCAAUAGUGAAAGACGGUUUUGCUGUCUCUUAUAGAUGAAUCCGCGCCGCAUUAGUUAGUUGGUAAGGUAACGGCUUACCAAGGCAACGAUGCGUAGCCGACCUGAGAGGGUGAUCGGCCACACUGGAACUGAGACACGGUCCAGACUCCUACGGGAGGCAGCAGUAGGGAAUCUUCCGCAAUGGGCGAAAGCCUGACGGAGCAACGCCGCGUGAGUGAUGAAGGUCUUCGGAUCGUAAAACUCUGUUAUUAGGGAAGAACAAAUGUGUAAGUAACUAUGCACGUCUUGACGGUACCUAAUCAGAAAGCCACGGCUAACUACGUG
rnacentral:rRNA from 1 species